rnacentral:misc_RNA from 1 species
UUGGGGUCAUAUUUGGCUUUUGGUUGUUUGCUUGGCUCUUUUGCCUUGCGGGUGGCCAUUUGCCAGCGCGRCUUUGGGGAUGUCUAUCGUAAAGGUGCAUGAGUGGUGUUUGGUUUGAUACGGGUGGUUGGCUCCCUGCUUGAGCAGGCACGACCACRCGUACAUUCCUUUUCAGUYAUGCGRCAAGGCUUGUAUCGUCUUGAUCGUAUAUGUGGGUUUCCUGUGUUGCAUACCUGAUCAAUGGCAUUGUUUUGAUCAAAAASGUACCUUUUUCGUCAGGCRUUGCACCCGCAAUGUCGGAUGAACCAUGCAGCAUCCUCUUUGAUCCAUAUAGUCGAUGAUUGUUYGUUGAUUGUUUGGCCCGUUGAGGGUGGCUUGGUCUCUUGGAUAUGGAAGCCAAAGUGGGCAUGGGUUCGUAUGAUCCUUUUAAUGCCCUYGUUGAGYGUUCUCGCUUCUCUACACGACARCCUUUCACGUAUGGCACGUCCCAGCGUGUUUGGCUAYGUCGAAGAGGAAUGCUACC